UCCGGCUUAACGCCGGCAGUCUCGCUAGAGUCCCCAGCUUGACCUGCUGGCAACUAGCGACAGGGGUUUCGCUCGUUAAGGGACUUAACCCGACACUUCACAGCACGAGCUGACGACAGCCAUGCAACACCUGUGCAAGCAUCACCCCGAAGGGCACCUUUCCAAGUUAUCCCUGGAAAGGACUCUUGCAUGUCAAACCCGGGUAAGGUUCUUCGCGUUGCUUCGAAUUAAGCCACAUGCUCCACCGCUUGUGUGAGCCCCCGUCAAUUCCUUUGAGUUUUAGCCUUGCGGCCGUACUCCCCAGGCGGCACACUAAGCACUUUUGCUUCGGCGCCGACGACGUCAGAGUCUCCGGCGCCUAGUGUGCAUCGUUUACGGCGUGGACUAC
rnacentral:misc_RNA from 1 species